rnacentral:rRNA from 1 species
GCUGGGCGGCGUGCUAUACAUGCAAGUCGUACGCUUCUUUUCUACCGAGUGCUUGCACUCAUUUGGAAAGAGGAGUGGCGAACGGGUGAGUAACACGUGGGUAACCUGCCCAUCAGAAGGGGAUAACACUUGGAAACAGGUGCUAAUACCGCAUAAUAAUCGACACCGCAUGGUGUUGAUUUGAAAGGCGCUUUCGGGUGUCGCUGAUGGAUGGACCCGCGGUGCAUUAGCUAGUUGGUGAGGUAACGGCUCACCAAGGCCACGAUGCAUAGCCGACCUGAGAGGGUGAUCGGCCACACUGGGACUGAGACACGGCCCAAACUCCUACGGGAGGCAGCAGUAGGGAAUCUUCGGCAAUGGACGAAAGUCUGACCGAGCAACGCCGCGUGAGUGAAGAAGGUUUUCGGAUCGUAAAACUCUGUUGUUAGAGAAGAACAAGUAGGAGAGUAACUGCUCUUACCUUGACGGUAUCUAACCAGAAAGCCACGGCUAACUACGUGCCAGCAGCCGCGGUAAUACGUAGGUGGCAAGCGUUGUCCGGAUUUAUUGGGCGUAAAGCGAGCGCAGGCGGUUUCUUAAGUCUGAUGUGAAAGCCCCCGGCUCAACCGGGGAGGGUCAUUGGAAACUGGGAGACUUGAGUGCAGAAGAGGAGAGUGGAAUUCCAUGUGUAGCGGUGAAAUGCGUAGAUAUAUGGAGGAACACCAGUGGCGAAGGCGGCUCUCUGGUCUGUAACUGAGGCUCGAAAGCGUGGGGACGCAAACAGGAUUAGAUACCCUGGUAGUCCACGCCGUAAACGAUGAGUGCUAAGUGUUGGAGGGUUUCCGCCCUUCAGUGCUGCAGCUAACGCAUUAAGCACUCCGCCUGGGGAGUACGACCGCAAGGUUGAAACUCAAAGGAAUUGACGGGGGCCCGCACAAGCGGUGGAGCAUGUGGUUUAAUUCGAAGCAACGCGAAGAAGAACCUUACCAGGUCUUGACAUCCUUUGACCACUCUAGAGAUAGAGCUUCCCCUUCGGGGGCAAAGUGACAGGUGGUGCAUGGUUGUCGUCAGCUCGUGUCGUGAGAUGUUGGGUUAAGUCCCGCAACGAGCGCMACCCUUAUUGUUAGUUGCCAUCAUUCAGUUGGGCACUCUAGC